rnacentral:rRNA from 1 species
UUGGAGGGCAAGUCUGGUGCCAGCAGCCGCGGUAAUUCCAGCUCCAAUAGCGUAUAUUAAAGUUGUUGCAGUUAAAAAGCUCGUAGUUGAAUUUCGGGGUUCUUCCGUUGGUCAGGCUAACAAGUCUGUACUAACGUGUAGAAUUCCUACCUUCUGGGGAACCAUCAUGUUAUUAAUUUAGCGUGGUGGGAAACCAGGACCUUUACCUUGAAAAAAUUAGAGUGUUCAAAGCAGGCUUACGUCUGAAUACAUUAGCAUGGAAUAAUAAAAUAGGACGGUGGUCCUGUUUUGUUGGUUUCUGAAUCACUGUAAUGAUUAAUAGGGAUAGUUGGGGGCAUUAAUAUUCAAUUGUCAGAGGUGAAAUUCUUGGAUUUAUUGAAGACUAACUUCUGCGAAAGCAUUUGCCAAGGAUGUUUUCAUUAAUCAAGAACGAAAGUUAGGGGAUCGAAGACGAUCAGAUACCGUCGUAGUCUUAACCAUAAACUAUGCCGACUAGGGAUCGGACGAUGUUAAAUUUUAUUGACUCGUUCGGCGCCUUACGGGAAAC